rnacentral:rRNA from 1 species
UGGCGGCACGCCUAACACAUGCAAGUCGAACGAAGUAGCAAUACUUAGUGGCAGACGGGUGAGUAACAUGUAGGUAUCUGCCCUUUGGCCUGGAAUAACACGAGGAAACUUGUGCUAAUACUGGAUAAGUCUUUACGGAGAAAGCUUUAUGCACCAUUGGAUGAGCCUGCACUUGAUUAGUUUGUUGGUGGGGUAAUGGCCUACCAAGACUGUGAUCAAUAGCUGAUUUGAGAGGAUGAUCAGCCACAUUGGGACUGAGACACGGCCCAAACUCCUACGGGAGGCAGCAGUGGGGAAUCUUGCACAAUGGAGGAAACUCUGAUGCAGCGAUGCCGCGUGAGUGAAGAAGGCCUUUGGGUUGUAAAGCUCUUUCGUCGGGGAAGAAAAUGACUGUACCCGAAUAAGAAGGUCCGGCUAACUUCGUGC